AGUUCGGUCCCUAUCUGCCGUGGGUGUAGGAUACUUGAGAGGAGUUGCCCCUAGUACGAGAGGACCGGGGUGAACGAUCCACUGGUGGACCUGUUGUUGCGCCAGCAGCAGUGCAGGGUAGCUAUGAUCGGACAGGAUAACCGCUGAAGGCAUCUAAGCGGGAAGCCCCCCUCAAAACAAGGUAUCCCUGAGAGCCGUGGUAGACCACCACGUCGAUAGGCCGGAGAUGUAAGCGUGGUAACACGUUCAGUUGA
rnacentral:rRNA from 15 species